AUUUAUAUAGUAUAAAAAUUAUUUUUAACUUCCAAUUAAAAGACCUAUAAAAUAGUAUAAAUA
rnacentral:tRNA from 1 species